GUGGGGAAUAUUGGACAAUGGGCGAAAGCCUGAUCCAGCCAUGCCGCGUGUGUGAAGAAGGUCUUCGGAUUGUAAAGCACUUUAAGUUGGGAGGAAGGGCAGUAAGUUAAUACCUUGCUGUUUUGACGUUACCGACAGAAUAAGCACCGGCUAACUUCGUGCCAGCAGCCGCGGUAAUACGAAGGGUGCAAGCGUUAAUCGGAAUUACUGGGCGUAAAGCGCGCGUAGGUGGUUUUGUAAGUUGGAGGUGAAAGCCCCGGGCUCAACCUGGGAACUGCCUCCAAAACUGCAUGACUAGAGUACGGUAGAGGGUAGUGGAAUUUCCUGUGUAGCGGUGAAAUGCGUAGAUAUAGGAAGGAACACCAGUGGCGAAGGCGACUACCUGGACUGAUACUGACACUGAGGUGCGAAAGCGUGGGGAGCAAACAGGAUUAGAUACCCUAGUAGUCC
rnacentral:rRNA from 1 species